CCACUGAUGCUUAAGUCAGUUUGAGCCUCGAGAAUAGGAGAUUUAAAAAAUAGAAUAGAAAGCAGGAGGAUCUGAUGUGGAACUAGAGGGUUUAUGAUUUUGUGGGAGCUAGAGUCUCAGCGACAGAAUCUUUCUCUAGUUUGAGUUCUAGUUUGAGCUUGAAACUUGAGAGUCAGAACUUACUUGGAGGAUCCCUUGGCCCUCUAUUUAUAAAAAGUCUGAUGAGGCCAUUAGAGAGUC
rnacentral:lncRNA from 1 species